rnacentral:tRNA from 5 species
GCGCGAGUGGCGAAAUUGGUAGACGCACCAGGUUUAGGUCCUGACGCUUCACGGCGUGCCGGUUCGAGUCCGGCCUCGCGCACCA